GGCUCUCCGCCUCUUUGUCUGCUCUGGGACUUGGAACAAAAGGGGAAACUCUGAUGAACUCCUUCUCCAGCUCCCUGGACGCCCGAGUAUCUCUUUCUCGCAACUUUGUCAACGCGACUUUCUCCGCUGUCAGGCUGCGCAAAAGUAUCCUAGCGCCUCGCAGGCUGCAACAAUGGAAACAAUGUCCCUUCAAAGUGCGACGAAGUGGAGGGAGAAGGUGUCAUACCAGCGACUCCAAGAGUCAUGUCACCCACUUAGCAGGAGUACUUCUACUGAAAUGCCUUCGAAUUUCUCUUACUGGAUAUAUACCUACCAGCCGCUAGCAUGAAGAUGCCAGGACCGCUGCAAGUUAGCACUGGACAAAGUAGCAUCAACUUCUUCAUUUAGAGUUUCUUCAGUUAAAUUGCUGGGAUUUUCGACAAGGCUUUCCUUAUGUGGAUUAUUGGAGUGUGAUGCCCGAGAAUUCUCUACUUGUAGAAGCACGCCCACGGGACUGCAGAAGCCUUCACACCCACCCAGCACGCUCAGAUCAUCCAGUAACCAACCCAGGAAGUUCUUGUAAGCAUGCAUUUCUUAGUCAACACUGAAUGCCUUUAGACCGAGGUCAACCUUUUCAGCUGGUACCGUGGUUUACACUGCUGGUGGAACCAUCUAGGGAGGCCUGCCACUGUUUGCUGAGCUCCGGGUGAGGAUGAAGACACUUUGACAUGGCCAGCUUCAGACUCGGGAUCUGUCGGUGUUAGCAGCCGAAGGAGAAUGAGGAGGAAGAGGAGGAGAAAGAGGAGGAGGAAGUAAGACAGAGGGGGACAAGAGGACCAAGAGGGCACAUGGCUGAGGAGGAGGAGAACAACAACAACAACAACAACAACAACAACAACAAGAAGCUUGGUGUUUUCAGGAUGUGUUCCUGAGUCUCGUGAGUAGCACAUGGCAGUUGUUGUCACCUUGGGCUGAGCCGUGAAGAUUCUCACCCUCCCUUGUUGGGGAUGAACUCCGGGAUUCUAAGGAGAGGUCAGCAGGUGUUUCACAGACUGUUCCUGUUGGAGGAUUUGUCUGAUACUCUUCUCCUGAUUAGUCUGGGCUCUACAUUUCCCCAAGGGUGAAACUUGGAAGCCCUCUCCAGGAUGCAGCAGGUAGCUGAGGAGAAAACGAAGACUGACCAGCCCAGAGCUCAGAGCUUCCUCCCAUGCUCAGGAUUUACCACCAAUGCCAUUACAUCGGCCUCUUCUUGUAUGCCUCUGGAAACCACAUGUGUCCUCUGUUUGUAAUGGUUUGGCUAUGGUUGCUGGCCCCUCUUGGACAUUGUUUUCAGAACUUAAAGAAACAUUGCUUUAAAGAUUUAUUAGAACAUAUUUAAAAUAAAACCAUCUUCUCAUUUAGUAUGCAAUUGAUUCUUCCCAUUUCCUCAGUCAAAACUCAUUGAUCAAAUUUAUUUGAGAAAUCCAGACAUGUAUAUAGCGUAUUGGGGUUAUUCCCAUCCUCCCCCAUAUUCUCUUAUCUCCCUUCCAGCCCUGACGCCCUCAGUCCUCCCUAUGGGCCUAUUCACACAAUCAUGUCUUUUUGUUUUAUGAACCAUUGAUUUUAACCGGGGCCAUCUGUGUUGCCAUGGCUUUAGAAUUAUCUACUGGAACUGGUUGGCUCAAAAUAGACAAAGACUUUCCCUUCCCCCAAGUCCAUCAUAGCUAGGAAUUCAGUCCCUCCGGUCCCCUCCCCAAUUCAUAAUUGACUGUUAGAAAGCCUAGUUUAAUGCAGGCCCUGUGUAGGUACCCAUAGCUACUGUGAGGUCACACCUGAAGAUGUGAAGCCCUUUUCCCUGUCUUCCAUUUCCACUUCUGUGUUCCCUGAGCCCUAGAUGGGAUAGUAUGAAUGUUCUGAUAAUCCGACCAAGUGGUAGUAUAUGUGUUCACUUAGAUAAAACAAAGACAAUACCAAUAGGAAAUGUAUUAUAAGCCCUGCACAUGCUAAAAAUAUAUGUAGCAAAUAACAUUAUUAUAUAAAUUCAGGGUCAUUGCUCUAUGUCAAUGUCAGUGACGUAUCAGUUUCAAAGGAUUUAUAUCACUGUUAAGUUAGAAAUAAUCCACUCUUGCUUGUUGUACAGUGCAUUUGUCCAGAUAGCCUACAAAAA
rnacentral:lncRNA from 1 species